rnacentral:rRNA from 1 species
UAGGGAAUCUUCGGCAAUGGGGGGAACCCUGACCGAGCAACGCCGCGUGAGUGAAGAAGGUUUUCGGAUUGUAAAGCUCUGUUGGUAAGGAAGAACGAGAGUGAGAAUGGAAAGUUCAUACUGUGAGGUACCUUAACAAGAAAGGGACGGCUAAUUAGGUGCCACCAGCCGCGGUAAUACGUAGGUCCCGAGGGUUGUCCGGAUUUAUUGGGCGUAAAGCGAGCGAAGGCGGUUAGAUAAGUCGGAAGUUAAAGGCAGUGGCUCAACCAUGGUAGGCUUUGGAAACUGGUUAACUUGAGUGCAGAAGAGGGGGGUGGAAUUCCAUGUGUAGCGGUGAAAUGCGUAGAUAUAUGGAGGAACACCAGUGGCGAAAGCGGCUACCUGGUCUGUAACUGACGCUGAGGCUCGAAAGCGUGGGGAGCGAACAGG